AGGUCUCGCCCGUCCUCAUCAGCUCUGAAGGUUGUGAUUUCGAACCGGCCGGCCACCUCCCGAAUGAUGGGUAUGCAACCUGAACAAUGGUUGAUAUGUCCGUGGAAUUCAGGGUAAGUAUGUUUUUAUAUUAAUAAAUGUAACAAACUAAUGGAUCGAUUAGUGAGUUGACUGAAUUAACAUGUUUUGUUCUGUA